ACGGGUGAGUAACGCGUGGAUAACCUGCCGUAUACAGGGGGAUAACACUUAGAAAUAGGUGCUAAUACCGCAUAAGCGCACGGUUCCGCAUGGAACAGUGUGAAAAACUCCGGUGGUAUACGACGGAUCCGCGUCUGAUUAGCCAGUUGGCGGGGUAACGGCCCACCAAAGCGACGAUCAGUAGCCGGCCUGAGAGGGUGAACGGCCACAUUGGGACUGAGACACGGCCCAAACUCCUACGGGAGGCAGCAGUGGGGAAUAUUGCACAAUGGGGGAAACCCUGAUGCAGCGACGCCGCGUGAGUGAAGAAGUAUCUCGGUACGUAAAGCUCUAUCAGCAGGGAAGAAAAUGACGGUACCUGACUAAGAAGCCCCGGCUAACUACGUGCCAGCAGCCGCGGUAAUACGUAGGGGGCAAGCGUUAUCCGGAUUUACUGGGUGUAAAGGGAGCGUAGACGGCAGCGCAAGUCUGGAGUGAAAUGCCGGGGCCCAACCCCGGAACUGCUUUGGAAACUGUGCAGCUCGAGUGCAGGAGAGGUAAGCGGAAUUCCUAGUGUAGCGGUGAAAUGCGUAGAUAUUAGGAGGAACACCAGUGGCGAAGGCGGCUUACUGGACUGUAACUGACGUUGAGGCUCGAAAGCGUGGGGAGCAAACAGGAUUAGAUACCCUGGUAGUCCACGCCGUAAACGAUGAUUACUAGGUGUCGGGGGGCCAAGGCCCUCCGGUGCCGCCGCAAACG
rnacentral:rRNA from 1 species